ensembl:lncRNA
CCAACUGGAUGAAGCAGUAAAUGAAAUACGUAGAGCUUAUAAACUUGCUCCUGAAUAUAUGAGUUUGCUUGGCUCCAUUAGCAUCAACAGAGCUACUGUUGAAAUAAUGUAAUUCUGUUUGUUUCUGAAAACAAAACAUAGUUGUCCUUACUUUUGCCUGUGGUCAGUGUAGUUAAUAGUCCAGAAAAGGAUGCUGGCCUUUGAUUUUUAAACAUUUAAAAGGUUACUAACAUUUUGUGUCUAAUGUGUAGUUAGCCUAAGAAAUUUAUCAGAAUAAGCUCCUAUUCUGACAGAUGUGGAAGCAGAAAGGUCAAGCUCAAAAGGAAUAAUACAUGCAGUAACAUUUGCUAGGACAAAAUUUAUAAUAAUGUAGGUUCAUCAGGAGGCUUUAAGGAAUAUAUUUCUUUCCUUUGGCAGAAAUAUGGGUGUUUCUUACAGUGUUACACAAUCCGAUUCUUACUACUUUCCUUCAAAACCUGUCAUAGCUGAUUCAAAAUAGUUAAGGAGAUGGACAAAUUAGUCUGCUCUUGUUAGACAUUUCUUACAUUCUUCUGUUCUUAGAAUAAGCAGGGUGAAAGAAGUGCUGAUGAGCUGCCUGGGGCCUGUUUUAAAAUGCGGUGAAACUGUUUUAAGUUCUGCAAAUGACUUCAGUGGAUUCAUGUCAAAGCUGUGACCAUAUAUUGAACAUUAAACCUUACUUUAAUGUACUUGGAGUAGUACCUUCUGUGGAGUUGGCUAAACGCACCAACAGUGUAACAGCUGUUCUUCCCAUCAAAAAGUGGGUGUAACACUGGACAUACAAACCGCAUCCUAAUUCUACUUUAGAAUCUAUGGAUUCCACUGUUGAGACCUCCACUAUGCUAUGACUGACUUGGGACGGCCAGCUCAAGAGGUACAUGACUGUAUGUAGCCAGACUGAUCCCACUCAAGAAGUCCUAACCUUGCUUCCUACCUGCUGCAGGUAAAGCUUUACUCAAAUCUACUGCCCACUUGGGAUUAAUUGAGAAAUCACAUUUCCAUUAUACCUUGGUCUCUUCUUCAGGCAUUUGACACAAUGCAGUUUCAAAAUAUUCAACCCAGCAGUUUCCAGAAAAUGAAAGCUGAAUACAAUUCUUGUUAAAGCUUCUAAAACAAAAUAUCUUGUUGAGUUCAAGACCAGAAGACUGGUCCUGUUUGGAUAGAAGGGUACAGACUGGUAGGAAGUUCUACCUCCAAACACAGGAUUAUAUCCUGAACACAGAAAAGACUAUGAACUUGCGUUUGGACUUGUGGGAACACAUGAGUUUGCUGUGCAUCCGAACUAACUCCUUAAGCAGAUAAAAUGCCCAAUUGUUGGAUAGGAAAAUGGAGAGGAAGUCGGUGGUUUUUAAAACUUAAAGGAUCGUUCUGAAGCAAAAAUCUAGGAAUGGUCAAAUUGUCUGAACCUGAACACUAAUACAAAUCACAUAAAGAUAAGACAUACAGAGCAUAUAAAAGAAGUCACUCGAGAUCAGAAAAUCCAAAGUUUAUUUUCUUAUUCUGUGGCCUAUAAGAUUCUCAUUUUUGGAUCAGGAGAACCAGUUCUGACAGCCUGUCAGUCCAAAUAGUCUAGGUAAAGAAAUAUGACUUCUUUUCAUUUUGACAGAAUAAAAACUCAUUUUCUAUUGUUCUCA